UACGUAGGUGGCAAGCGUUGUCCGGAUUUACUGGGCGUAAAGAGCGCGCAGGCGGUCGUUCAAGUCGCGUGUGAAAGCCCCCGGCUCAACUGGGGAGGGUCACGCGAUACUGAUCGACUCGAAGGCAGGAGAGGGAAGUGGAAUUCCCCGGUGUAGUGGUGAAAUGCGUAGAUAUCGGGAGGAACACCAGUGGCGAAGGCGACUUCCUGGCCUGUUCUUGACGCUGAGGCGCGAAAGCUAGGGGAGCAAACGGG
rnacentral:rRNA from 1 species